rnacentral:rRNA from 1 species
AUUGAACGCUGGCGGCAUGCCUUACACAUGCAAGUCGAACGGUAACGGGCCUUCGGGUGCCGACGAGUGGCGAACGGGUGAGUAAUACAUCGGAACGUGCCCGAUCGUGGGGGAUAACGAGGCGAAAGCUUUGCUAAUACCGCAUACGAUCUACGGAUGAAAGCAGGGGACCGCAAGGCCUUGCGCGGACGGAGCGGCCGAUGGCAGAUUAGGUAGUUGGUGGGAUAAAAGCUUACCAAGCCGACGAUCUGUAGCUGGUCUGAGAGGAUGAUCAGCCACACUGGGACUGAGACACGGCCCAGACUCCUACGGGAGGCAGCAGUGGGGAAUUUUGGACAAUGGGCGCAAGCCUGAUCCAGCCAUGCCGCGUGCAGGAUGAAGGCCUUCGGGUUGUAAACUGCUUUUGUUCGGAACGAAAAGCCUUCUUUUAAUACAGGAGGGUCAUGACGGUACCGUAAGAAUAAGCACCGGCUAACUACGUG